UAACGCGUGAGUAACCUGCCUUUCAGAGGGGGAUAACAUUCUGAAAAGGAUGCUAAUACCGCAUAAAGUCAGAGUGUCGCAUGGCGCACUGACCAAAGGAGCAAUCCGCUGAAAGAUGGACUCGCGUCCGAUUAGCUAGUUGGCGGGGUAAAGGCCCACCAAGGCGACGAUCGGUAGCCGGACUGAGAGGUUGAACGGCCACAUUGGGACUGAGACACGGCCCAGACUCCUACGGGAGGCAGCAGUGGGGGAUAUUGCACAAUGGGGGAAACCCUGAUGCAGCAACGCCGCGUGAGUGACGAAGGUCUUCGGAUUGUAAAACUCUGUUCUUGGUGAAGAUAAUGACGGUAGCCAAGGAGAAAGCUCCGGCUAACUACGUGCCAGCAGCCGCGGUAAUACGUAGGGAGCGAGCGUUGUCCGGAAUUACUGGGUGUAAAGGGUGCGUAGGCGGCCUUGCAAGUCAGGCGUGAAAACCAUGGGCUCAACCCGUGGACUGCGUUUGAAACUGUGAGGCUUGAGUGAAGUAGAGGUAGGCGGAAUUCCCGGUGUAGCGGUGAAAUGCGUAGAGAUCGGGAGGAACACCAGUGGCGAAGGCGGCCUACUGGGCUUUAACUGACGCUGAGGCACGAAAGCAUGGGUAGCAAACAGGAUUAGAUACCCUGGUAGU
rnacentral:rRNA from 1 species